rnacentral:tRNA from 1 species
GGCGUGAUGGCCGAGUAGUUAGGCAGAGCUCUGCAAAAGCUCGUACACGGGUGCAAUUCCCGUUCACGCCU